rnacentral:rRNA from 1 species
GACGAACGCUGGCGGCGUGCUUAACACAUGCAAGUCGAGCGGUAAGGCCCUUUCGGGGUACGACGAGCGGCGAACGGGUGAGUAACACGUGGGUGACCUGCCCUUACGCUCUGGGAGUAAGCCUGGGAAACGUGGGUCUAAUACCGGAUAUGACUCCAUGACGCAUGUUGUGGGGUGGAAAGCCUUGUGCGGCUAGGGAUGGGCCUGCGGCUUAUCAGCUUGUUGGUGGGGUGAUGGCCUACCAAGGCGACGACGGGUAG